rnacentral:rRNA from 1 species
AACGAACGCUGGCGGCAUGCCUAACACAUGCAAGUCGAACGAGACCUUCGGGUCUAGUGGCGCACGGGUGCGUAACGCGUGGGAACCUGCCCUUAGGUUCGGAAUAACUCCCCGAAAGGGGUGCUAAUACCGGAUAAUGUCUUCGGACCAAAGAUUUAUCGCCUUUGGAUGGGCCCGCGUUGGAUUAGCUAGUUGGUAGGGUAAAAGCCUACCAAGGCGACGAUCCAUAGCUGGUCUGAGAGGAUGAUCAGCCACACUGGGACUGAGACACGGCCCAGACUCCUACGGGAGGCAGCAGUGGUGAAUAUUGGACAAUGGGCGAAAGCCUGAUCCAGCAAUGCCGCGUGAGUGAUGAAGGCCUUAGGGUUGUAAAGCUCUUUUACCCGGGAUGAUAAUGACAGUACCGGGAGAAUAAGCGCCGGCUAACUCCGUG